UUGGGACCUCUGGAGCUGGGGUUUUGCUCUAAAACAUGUUGAGUUUCUAUAAGUCCUCUGAACCCUGUCCUGUUCUUUUCUUAUUAUUUGUAAUGAAUGCUUCAUUGUAUACACGAUUAAUUAAAUUAUUGGCCACUGGUGAUCAAUUUAACCUUCAGCAUCUCUCCCCUCCUUGGGAGUUGUCUAAAAAGCCCCAGGCUUUUGAUGCUGCCUUGGUUUCCAGUGACCAGCCACCAUCCUGAGGGCACCAGUGGGCUGCCGGCCACCAGCCAACUCAGCAUAUAAAAUACACUUGUCGCUAGUGGAGUGGUGUACAGCCAAGAAAGAGCAUCUUCAAGAUUUGGUGUCCUGACACUGGACUAUGCAGUAUGAGGAGAAGGAGGAAAGUGGGUCCUUGGGACCCAGGAAGGAUCUGAAGGGAGAAUUGAAUUCCACAGGGAGAGCAAAGAGAGAGAUUUAAAUGAAGAGGAGGGAGGUAGCAAGCAGUGCUUUCUCCCAGAUCCUGGACUCAUGGCAUGGGAACAGCGAAUCAAACCUGCAGACACAUGGUGACUACUGGCGACCCCAGAGGCCUUCACAGAGAAAAGCACCAGUGGAAGGGAGCAAUGGACACAGUGGACUCCAGUGGCCGCUUAUCUCAAAUUCCAGAAACAGCAAGCUUUACACUGAAACUGUGCCUCUCAAGCAAUAACAACUUCCCUGGUGCCACCUGGGAUGCCUAUGAUCAAACCUGAGACAAGAUCAACCCUUGUUCUUCCCCCGAAUGAUUCAGCAACUACUGUUAGCACCUCAACAGGAGGAGUUCGGCUUAUCAGCUUCGGUCCUCCCUGGGUCUGGCCACACAUAAAUAAUUCUUAGCUGUUUCGCUACCACUCUCCUCACUGCUGUUGAGAUCUUUUGGGGC
ensembl:lncRNA